rnacentral:tRNA from 1 species
GCGGGUGUGGCCCAAUGGUAGGGCAGGACCUUCCCAAGGUCAAGGUUGCGAGUUCGAGUCUCGUCACCCGCUCCA